GAAGAGCAGAUUCGUAAAGGUUCCCAAUAAUUCAAGCUUGCUUGGGGAGCAGUUUUCCAGCUCCUGAGGAACUGAAUAUUCCAGCAGUUAAAUAGUAGAUAUGAAAUGAAGUGAACAUAGUGACUGAAAAUUGAAAGAAACAGAACGUAAUGAAUUUUCUGGUGAAGCUACUUUGGUGGAAACUUUUUGACUGCAGAGAUAUUUGAGAGCUGCUUGGGUCGAUUUUGAAGAAACAAAGACACAGGCAGUAUUGCAAGCUUCAUUUAUUGUAAAAUGAAAAUCUUAUAAAUACCCGAAAACCUUAUCUUUAUGUUUAGGGUUUUUCCUAUAUGUCCAUCUCUUGCUUUAUUUGAAAAAAUAUUUUUGAAAUUAAAAUGACUGUAAAUAGUUUUCGGUCAACUUUGAACAACUACAGACUGACAAGGCUGCCCCAAGUAUGAAUGUGACUAUGUGAAGAAAAACAGCUUUGAAGAUGUCAUUUUCUAAUAUGUAUAAGUGGAGGCUUGUUACUGUUUUUAUUCAUUAAGGUAACAGACCAAUAUGUAGAUUUGUUUUAUACCCAUUUAUAGUAGUACUUGGUUAUUGAUUUUCCCUUUUUGGUAUUAUAAUAUGUAUUUGUGUUUAGUUAAAAUGUUUCUUUUCUACGGGGACAAUUAUGACAAAGUUAAUAAAAGGGUGUUUCCAAUAUCCGUGACUUUUUUCCCAGUCAUUAUUGUAAUUUGCUUCAUAAUUAUUACCGAAAAUAAUUUUAUUGCAUAAAAGUGGGAGUUCCCAUUGUGACGCAGCAGAAACGAAUCCAACUAGUAUCCAUGAGGUUGUGGGUUUGAUCCCUGGCUUCACUCAGUGGGUUAAGGAUCCAGCAUUGCCGUGAGCUAUGGUGUGGGUCACAGACACAGCCCAGAUCUGGUAUUGCUAUGGCUGUGGUGUACACUGGCAGCUGUAGCUCCGAUUCCACCCCUAGCUUGGGAACCUCCAUAUGCCGUGGAUGGGGCCCUAAAAAACAAAAGAGAAAAUGAUAAUAAUUUUAUUGCAUAAAAGAGGGGAUUAUAAAGUGCUCCCCUGCAAGAUUUAAGUAUGCUAGAUGCAUCUGGCUCUGGGUAGCACCCUUCUCUGGAGGAAGCCCUUAUUCAUCGUCAGCGGGUCUGGCCAUCAUCUCAGAGAGGAGCCACUACCAUUCCUGUGUUACUUGUGCCUGUCCCGUGGCCUCCCCCCGCCCCAUUGUAGGGAUAUUCUGCAUUAUCUCCUCUAUUAACUUUCAAGGCAUGUUAGUUGGCCUCCUUCAAGCCAUUCCAACACAUCCCGAUCUCUUGUAUACAGAAGGCAUUCUUCCCAGUUUCCUGUGCUCUAGUACAUUUCCGCCACCCUCCUUUCAAUUCUCAUCUUGUAGGUUGGUCCCACUGUCUUUCCAACGGCUCAUCUGGAGGUCAAAUACGGACUGAUCUAUUACAAUGAGGAAGAGAAGAUACGGAGGCAGCAAGAAACUCCUUCCAAAGUAAAAUGUGACCAAUGAGCUUUUCGGGGCAAAGGAGGGUGAGCUUCUGCGGGGUGAAAAGAAGGCAGCUCAUCCUCUGCAGUGAUGCCAAAGCCUCCUGUGUUAUUGCUAUCUCUAGUAAUAAGAAUUCUGGCUUUGAAAUGAGGGGUUGAAAUGCAUUUUCUUUGAUAAAAAUACGUACAGAAUUUUAGAGCUAGAGCUUGCUGUCUAAGCCUUUCAUUUUAUAGAUGAGAAAAUGAAGUCCCAGAGGAGCCAAGUCACUUAAGUUAAUUCCUCCAGGUAGUGGCAAAACUGGAACCAGAGCUCGAUCUACUUCCUCCUAAUUAAACAUACUUUCUAUUAGAGAUAGUGUUGUGCUCACAUUGACGUCACUCUUAACCUUUCUCCACAAUUCCAAUUGUUGUGAGGAUUAAGUAUAAUCAUACAUAUUAAAAAUGGGCCUAACCUCUAACAGCCAUAGAAAAACCUGGCAGCCUUACUGUUAUUCUAAUUUAUGCUUCAAGUGAUAGAGGUUUUAAAAGGGAUGCAAAUUGUGCCUUUUCUCUUUUUCUUUUCUUUUUUUUCAGUUCCGUAUGGAAUACAGGCCCCCUCCUUUUUUUCUUCUAGAGUGGUAUUGACAUACUUCUGCUCCAAUGAACUAAUGUUCCUAUCUCAAAUGACUGCUUUGGUGGGAAGAAAAAUUAACACGUUAAGGCAAAAUAAAGGGAUGGGAAGAACUCAGCACGGGGAAUGGCAGCGAGUCUUUAAAAUAGUUAUCAUAAGUGAAAUGCCAGUGCCUCAUUUUUAUUUCAAACAAGAGCACUGAACAUCUAUAUAAUAACUUCACAUAUGCAGGUGGUUGGCCAUGACCAUAAUCAGAAUCUCUCCUCUUCUUCUUUCUACUUAUCUACUUGAGGAUUUGCUAGUCUUUUCAUUCGUUUCUGCUUCAUCCAUUCCUUCCUUUCCUCAAACAA
rnacentral:lncRNA from 1 species